UGGUCAUCUUGAUAUCACACACACACACACACACACACACACACACACACACACACACACACACACUCCGAUCCCAGCCCACAGGAAACGCAAAGCCAAACUAUAGCUUAAGAUAUUUCCUGUGGGGCUCCACACCAACAGCUCCACGGGAAGUUACUCAAUGACUCUAGCUUGGUCGACUCUUGCUUUACCUGGAUGCCAGCCACCACAUUCCUGAGAUCCUUGGCAAUUUAAAUGACUUAGGGCUUGGAGAUAGAGCGUGGAAGGGGCAUGGGAAAACUGAGGCCCAGAGAAGUUGGAAGCAAAGACCACCAAGCAGCCCUGGGUUGCAUCAGGUGGAGCCCGGGCACUCCCGGCACACCACUGUCCCCUGGUGGCCAAGCUAAGAAUUGUCUGUGACCGACCUCCGAUGCUGGAUUCCCCAAAAGCCACACUGAAGAAUUAGCUCUAGAAUGGACUUCAGCCAGCACCAGGGUUUUAAAUUCCUAGGCGGUCUGUGUAAUCGCACACCUUGAACCUGGACUGACGCAACCCCGAUCAUUUGCAUGUCUGGGUCCUGAAGAAGCAAAUGGAAAUCUUUGGAGGAAGAUUGCCUAGGAUCUACAUUAGUCACAAUAUGCUUCCAAGUGCCCUGGAAUGAAAUCCUGGUCAAGGACCUGGUGACAAACACAAACUUGUAAAGGAUCAAAUGCUGUGAUUAUUUCACAUACAGCAUGAAACAUCUAUGCUUAAGUAAACAAAAGACAAGCUUG